UACGAAGGGGGCUAGCGUUGUUCGGAAUUACUGGGCGUAAAGGGCGCGUAGGCGGUACUUCAAGUCAGGCGUGAAAGCCCCGGGCUCAACCUGGGAACCGCGCUUGGAGACUGGAGAACUAGAGUUCGGGAGAGGAUGGUGGAAUUCCCAGGUGUAGAGGUGAAAUUCGUAGAUAUUGGGAAGAACACCGAUGGCGAAGGGCAGCCAUCUGGACCGACACUGACGCUGAGGCGCGAAAGCGUGGGGAGCAAACAGG
rnacentral:rRNA from 1 species